rnacentral:piRNA from 1 species
UGGGAAGUACACUUUUGUUCCUGGUAGG